CGAUCACUUUCUCUCUCUUCAAUCCUUCCAUAGCUAUAUACUUUUUCAAGGUCCUCUAAUGGCAGCAACUGCACCUUCAAACACAUCCACAUACCAGAAGGCCCCGUCGAGGAGGGGCCGUGUCAAAGCUCAAAUUUUUGGGAGCUUGGCCGGAAACCUCUACACCGCCGCCUCUAAAACCGCGGAGGCGCUCGGUAAAAUCAAAUUAGCCUCCGCCUCCACCUCCGCCGCCGCCGCCGUCGACGAAAUCUCCCCAUCCGCCAGCCCACCGCCGAGCGGACCGUUACCCUGAUCGAUCAGUCAGGCUUGGAACGAUCUGAUUGGAUGGAUAUGUUUCAUGAUCAGUGAAAUUGGGCAUGCUUUUUUUGUUGCCUUUUUCAUUUGUGUGUUCUGUAUAAUAUUAUUAUUAUUAAUUAAUUAAUUAAUUAAUAGUUUGAAUAAAAGAAAAAGGCAGUGUUGAAAUACAGUAACCGUAGUUGGGUUUUCGGGUCGGGUCGGGUCAGAGCUUUUGUUUUAUUAGUGUUGGCUCUGAAAGUAAUUUGGGUUUUUUAUUUUGUGUGGAAUUUAUAAUUUGUAUGGCCUCUUCUUCCUACAUAUAUCAUCUCUCAAAGUUUUUUAGAUUGGAGAUGGUAUUUUUGUGGGUUUCUCUUUCUUGUUUGUAUCUCUUGUAUAAUAAUACUAUUUAUUAAUAAAAAUCCAGUGUUCUCUCUCUCU
rnacentral:lncRNA from 1 species